GAAACAGGUCAAAUUCAUUGCUCCACGGGUCAAAGGGCAAAGGUUUAUAAAAUGACCUUGAAGAUCAAGGAGGCAAAAUCCACGACCCAGAACAAGUCAGAAGCUCAGGAUGAUUUCUCAUCAUUGUGCUCCUAAAGCCAUGCCUGCUGCUAGCUGCCGUGUCUCCCCAUCAUGGUGGACUCUUCUCCCUCCAGAACUACAGGCUCAAAUAAACUCUUUCUUCUAUAA